GACAGAGGGUGCGAACGUUGUUCGGAAUUACUGGGCGUAAAGCGCGUGUAGGCUGCCUCGAAAGUCAGGUGUGAAAUCCCAGGGCUCAACCCUGGAACUGCCUUUGAUACUGACGAUCUGGAGAUCGGGAGAGGUUGGUGGAAUUCCGAGUGUAGAGGUGAAAUUCGUAGAUAUUCGGAGGAACACCAGAAGCGAAGGCGGCCAACUGGCCCGAUACUGACGCUGAGGCGCGAAAGCGUGGGGAGCAAACAGG
rnacentral:rRNA from 1 species